CACCAGCAGAGCCUAUUCCUCCAGGCUUUCCUCUCAACACAGCUGGCAUAGUUUGAUGUUAUCAGGGAUAAUCUUAGCUGGAGGAGGGUGUUUGUUGUGGUCUGGAGUUUCCCAGCAAGCUCAAAACCACAUCCUCUUUGGCCCCAGAAAAGCAGCUCUGACCUGGCGGUCCUCUUCACCUCCUCACUUUGCUCCCGUCCCCCCUGCGCCAAGGCAUCCCAUCCCACUGUGGGCUGGCUGAGGUGUGGUGCACUCGGGGACACAUCCCCCAGAGCACAAGUCCAGCUGCACCUCACCAGAGCCACCUGACCUUGUGCCACUGGGUCCGGAGUGGCCGCGGGAAGUCGAGGCGGUUUGGAGGUGGCAUUUCCCAGCUAACUUCUAGCCUGGCCCAAACUAGUGUGGCAAAACCUGUGGAGGGCAGCUACAGCUGGAGCACCCUUGGCAAGAGCCAGGAUUCAGGGCUUGGGUGAGUCUCCCAGCUGGAUGUGUGUCCCAGGGCGAAAGCUGGAGUAGCCCCAGCCUCCUCAGUGCGGCUGAACAGAGCCAGUGCCAUGGUGCAGGGCCACCCCAAAUGUCCCCAUCCAGGUCCUUGCGGCUGGUAGGCCAGCAGGAUUGUCCCAGUGCCACCAGGUGGCAGCUGCUGUUCAGGGACCUGUCAGUAUCGUGCCAUGUCUGGCACAUCCAGGUUUGGCACAGGUCAUGUCUGAGUGCUGUGCACAGCCCUGCAGCUGCCCAGACUGCAUCAGACUUUUGUCCCCCCAUGUCCUUUGCUUUAUAACACCCGCCUGCCCGUAGGAUUUAUAGUCCAGGAGCUCCUUGGGGUAUGUAGGGACAUGCAUAGAAGAGGUUUCGUACCUGUGAGUGCCACUCUUGCAGCUGCAAAGCGUGUGCAAAGGUGCAGCCUCGGCUUGUGCAACGUGGCAUGGUGCUGAAGGCAGCACAAGCGGAGGGACUGACGGCAGGAUUGGGUCUGACAUCCUGAGACAUGCUUCAGACACAGCGACAACUACUCGUGCACAGACACGAUACCCAGUGCCAGCCAGGAGCUGCAGGGUCUGCUGGAUUUAACCAGAGAUGUCUGAUUUGGGGAGGAAAUACACAACUGUGCUUCAGCAUGUCCAGAAGCUGCUGUUGUGUCAGCCCUGCUUUUUUGGGAAGCUGUUGGGCAAGAAACCGAGGCACAGAGCAGCCAGAGCUGGACACCAGUGCCUGGCUUCCCAGCAUGGAGCAGGUGCUCCCUCCAGAUACGUCGCUCUCAAGCAGCCGUGGAGGUCAGCCAUGGGAGUAUAGCAGAGUUGUGUGCCGGCUCCAGGUCAGCACAAAAACCUCUGUGCUGGUGACUCACCAAAUGCUAUUUAUGCUCUCCAAGUGGAGAGAGGUUUGGGGCAGGCCCUCAUUGCCCAGGGGUGGGGGGGCUCACCCUCCUCACCCCUACUGUGUGGACCUUCUCCCUUUGUUGGGGAUGUGGCAGCAGGGAAAUCCAGUCAGACCAGAAAAACUAUUGAUAAUAGGGGAGGGAGAACAAGAUAAAGGAGCAGCCCAUGGCUUUGUUGUGCAAAAAGUACCAGGUGAUCAAAAGCACCUACCCUGCAGAGAGCCCUCAUCUCCAGGUGCUGGGGCAGGGCCCUGCAGGCAAACAGCUCCUGGAGGUGCAGCAGCCCCUGGUUCCCACGCCAAGGCGCUGUGGUAGUCCGGGCUCCUCUGCCAGGCUGAGCAGCAGGACCCUGGGUGCUGUGGGGCUUUUCCAGCUUGGCCUGACCCAGUCCUCGGGGUGGUAAAUUCUGAAAAGACACUUGCUGAGUCGUGAGUACAUCCCAAGGCUCCCUCCAUCCCUCCCACAGCAGCCGUGCAGCAUCAGGUGGGACCACACAGAUGGACAAGGGGCUGGCACCCACCCACACUCAGAAAUAGUGUCCCGUCUCCCCAGCUGUGUGCUUCAGGGACAGAGCCUGGCCUGACCCCUGGGUCAUGUGGCUUUGAGGCUCCUGUGUUUCAGCAGACCUCAGGGACUUUUUACUGUGCUAAUAUCAGCGUACAUCUGCUUUGCCUGGUGCAGAGCUGGCAAGACGGGGGAAGGCUGUGGUUUGCAUUGUCACCUUAAUCUCUCAAAUCUCUCAAAGGUGUUUCCCAGCUCUGCACCCCUCCAGGACAGAGCCUCACAGGUUGUCUCAUGCCUGGCAGAGAGGCCUUCGGACUGUGUGUUCAGCUUAUCUCAGCCCCGGUCAAUGGUCCAGGGCUGCCCAACGGCUCUGCCAGGUGCAGACAUCUCUGCCAUGAGAGCUAGGCUGGGCCCCAGCAGCGCCGAGGGGAGCGAGCCAACGUAAGCCACAUACUGCCACCGCAUGCGAGGUCCCGACCUGCCACCUCAGCCCGUGGCUUGUCCCCACAACCUUCCUGCUUUUGCGAGGAGCGGGAGGGGACUAAAGGAUGUGUUUCCCUGAUGGGCCGCAUCCUGCCAGAUUGGCACAAAGAUGGGGCACGUCAGCUCAGUUACACUGCACAGCUGCAUCCCUGAGCCCCUUUCCCUACCCGCAGCGUGGGGUUGUGUACAAGGCAGAAAGGCAGAGCCCAGCGCUCAGAGCUGCGGUUGCCAUGGGGUGAUGCUGAGCACAGCCCUGAGCAUCUCCGGUCCCACAGCUGAGAGCUGCCGCCGCACUGCCGUCAUGUGGGUGCCGGGGUCCCCACGUCCAAGCAUCCUCUGUGCGGUCACUUCCCUGCUCACCUCCUGACUUUGGUUGCAGUAACACCUAAAAAUCCAAGCAAAGACCGUCAGGGAGCAUCCACGGCACUGCCCAGGCAGCGUUACUGCGGGCAGGCGCUUUGCCUGACCCCGUUUCUGCAGGGAACCUGGCGAGAGGAGGUUUGGCCGAGGCGCACUCGCGCUGCUCUCCCCACCCUGUCGGGAAGGGGCUGUGCGUCAGCCUCCCGAGACAUCUGCUGACAAAUUUUUCAUUAUGCAAUGGCCUUGCCUUCACAGGCAGCCAUAUGGCCCCACGUUCUCCAGCGGGGCUGACAGCAAUGCGUUCCUAGGUCCAGACUUCGCAUUUCAGGGAAAUUUCCUAUGAGCAGAUUUUUGGCACUUUCUUAAAUGCACCUCUGACCUGUGCUGAACAAAUUGGGAUAUAUAAAUCCUCCAGGAGAUUUUUGGAGAUCUCUUUCUCCCAGCUGGACAGUUCAUCAUGGCAAAGAGCAUAAGACUUUCCUCCACCAACCUGUGGCCAACAGCCAGCUGGUGCAAAAUGUGCUUAUUUUCCUCUUGCUUUCUCUAGCCAUGUGGAUGGCUUGGGUUUUGUUUCCAAGAAGUAAUCACUGGAAUAAAAAGCCCAGGCUAAAAAUGA